CCUACGGGAGGCAGCAGUGGGGAAUCUUGCGCAAUGGGCGAAAGCCUGACGCAGCAACGCCGCGUGCGGGAAGAAGGCUUUCGGGCUGUAAACCGCUUUCAGCAGGAACGAAAAUGACGGUACCUGCAGAAGAAGGAGCGGCCAACUAUGUGCCAGCAGCCGCGGUGAUACAUAGGCUUCAAGCGUUGUCCGGAUUUAUUGGGCGUAAAGAGUUCGUAGGCGGUCGAGUAAGUCGGGUGUGAAAAUUCUGGGCUCAACCCAGAGACGCCACCCGAUACUGCUUAACUUGAGUUCGAUAGGGGAGUGGGGAAUUCCUAGUGUAGCGGUGAAAUGCGCAGAUAUUAGGAGGAACACCGGUGGCGAAGGCGCCACUCUGGAUCGAUACUGACGCUGAGGAACGAAAGCAUGGGUAGCAAACAGGAUUAGAUACCCUGGUAGUCCAUGCCGUAAACGGUGGGCACUAGGUGUGGGAUUCUAUUAACGAUUUCCGCGCCGUCGCUAACGCAUUAAGUGCCCCGCCUGGGGGUAGGUACGGUCGCGAGACGUAAACUACGAAGAAGUAAGUAGCGUUGAGAGUUGCGACGGACGACGACGAGGGAGGAGG
rnacentral:rRNA from 1 species